CAAGGUGAUGUGGAAGGGAUGUGGGUGGGAAGGGAGCGCUUAGCCAAUGGAAAUAAAGUCCUCCCCCCUACACACGCCACUAGAGACAAGAUUAAAAGCGAGAGCGAGGGAGAAAAUGCUUAAAACAAGUCGCUGAGCAGCUCGGAGCCUGUUAACCAGCGCAUAAGCCCCGUGUUAACCAUCCCGGGGAUGUCAGGGCAGCCGCGCAGAGGCACUGCGGUCUGCACAGAGCUCAGCCUCCCCCGCCGCCGCCGCCGCUCGCUCUUUUCCGUGCUGCUGGCGCUCCCGGUGCCGCGUCUCGCCGCCGACCGCUGGCCCUCCUUUCCUCCUCCUCCAGGCCCCCUUUUAGGGCAGAAUUCCAAAUACUGCCGGCCGCGGCUAGCACCAGCCAGAAGAGGCAGCGUGCCGCCCGCCACCGAGAGGCGGAGACCCGGGAGGCUGGGGACCGAUGGCUGCGGGGUGGGGAGGAGGCUCGGACCCGGGGUGCAGCCUCCCCGUCUCCCUGGUGGCGAAGGAGACCCUGGAGGCGCAGAGCGAGGCUUCUUGGCUCAGGCCGCCUGGCCUCCCAGAUGGGGAGCAUACCAGGGACACGGUAAGAAGCUCUCUGGAGACAGAAAAGCCAUCGUGCCCCUAGGAAGCCCAGAGAAAGAGCAACAAGUAGCCCCCACCUCUACAUGGCUGUCAGGAAAAUCUGUGUUUGACAGAGAAAGACAGCUGGGGCUCCAGGUAGAACUGGCUGUAUUCCUGCAUCCCAUUCUAUGGAAAGAUGCAUGUGUGCAUGUGUGCAUGUGUGCAUGUGUGCAUGUGUGCAUGUGGUGUGUGUGUGUGUGUGUGUGUGUGUGUGUGUGUGUGUGUGUGUGUGUGUUCUGCACCAGUAGCUGCCAGAUGGAAAGCCCAGCUGGAGCUAUAGGUGGGAGCAGAGAGUGGGCUUUCAGCCGCUUACCUCCCUUUUCCUGAAAAUCCCCUGGAAGUCAGUUCCUGGUAGCAGGUGGGUGUGGCUUGCCAGCUUGCCCCAUGCCAGAGAUCAAAUGGCUGAGACCUACUGAAUCAGUGAUGCUGAAUCCACAUCAAGAGGAGAGGAGCAGGCAAUGUAUGUGAGUAGCCCAAGCUGCAAUGCCAACCUGGGGCAAACCUACAUCAGGCCAGGUGCCUUGGGGGGCCAAUCUGGGUGACACCUUGGCUGGAAGAAGGUGGAAAAGGCAGCGUAGAUCGUGUCCCUCCAGGUUUAUAUCUACUCUGAAACAUUCUUCUAUCCUCCUUGGCUAUCUGCUAAGCCAGAUCCAAUAGGACAGACAUUCAAUGUGCUCUAAGGCAACACGUGGCAUAAUAUUGGUGAAUUAUUGACCCUGGGAGUGUAAAUAGUACAAACAUUACCAGUGAGCAAGCUGAUUGACCCCAGGUGUCUGCUAACCUAGAGGUCCAAGACCCCUGCCUCCAAGGCUGGGGGCAUAAGCUUUUAAUGUAAAGACACUAAAAUUAAGUAAGGCAGUAUCAUGUGACAGGACUCAUGUGAGGGUGUGAUAUCAUCACACUUGACUUUGCCAACUAUUUUAACAGGUGUGUGUUCUUGUUUUAUUCCCAUUGUACAGAAAAGAAAACUGAGGCCCAUGAAAGAAGAGUACCAUGUCUAGGUUUUUCCAUUUUUGGUACCAGAAUUGAACUUGAACCCUAGGAUGGUUGCCUCCAAUAAUCAGAUUUGAAAAAGCAGAUCCAAAAUAUUCCUAAAUUUAAGAAGAAACAAAUGAUUAUACUCCCACUCCUUACAUUACAUAGGCGCACACACGUACACACACACAUCAAUUUAUCACAUGUAUGAAGCAGCAUGUGACUUCUGAUCUCCCAGUCAUAUCCCUGUGCCCAUUUUUUUUUCAUAGCUCAAGGCAAUCUCAUACAGGAAGACUUCCCUGAUUAAUCCCUCCAAGCUUUGGCUCAUCUGCCUAUGUGGUUGUUGACCUUUAACUCUGUAUCAAGUACUGCAUUGGUUUUGUAAAAACAAAGAAGAAUGAAGCACAUGUCCUACUUCUGACAACUCAAAGUUCAGUUGAGGUGGAAGCAGAGAGACAUAAGCACACACGUGUCUGUACAGCAACACGGUCAAUGAGAGAAGAAACAUUGUUCAUGGGCACUGUUCAUUAAGCUCCUGUUACUCAGCGUCCUUACCAGGUCCUUUUAGCCUCAGCGUUUGCUCACGCUGCAUUCUAUCUCCUCCCACCUGCUAGACCCACUCCCCUUCCAAGACUGUUCUUAGAACCACAUUUUCUCCCAGGUUUUAUCCUCCACAUGUUUCUCUUGUGUGCAGAGAUGAUAGAGUUCUGUAUCUUCCCUAUUUAAGCCCAUUUCCUCUCCUUCAUCUCCCCAGCACAUGGUUUUGAGGAAUAAAAAUGGUGUGGAGUAUCAUGGGAGGCGUGACCUGCACCUGAAUUUACAUAUCAAGUCUUCUCUGCCUCCUUUUACUCUGUGACCUUGAGGAAGUUAGAAAAUUUCUAUGAACUUGCAUUUUCCCAACUUCCAAAGUAAUAGGACUUCUAAUACCUCCCGUGCAGAGCUGUUGUGCAAAGAAAAUGACAUAAAGAUUAUGAAUUGUCUGGUGCAAUUUAGAUAGUUGGCAAUUAAUAUUUCUUUUGAUGACUACUCAGAGAAUAUUCUUUGUUGAUUUUGGUGUUCUUUUCCAGGUGAUUGGGGGACCAUUUAAAGCUCUGGAAGCUGUUAUUUGCACUGAACACUGCAUGCCUGAAAGUGUUAUCAUUCCCAUUCAAAGCCCAGAGAGGAAGGUGACAAGCACAGAAGGCAGUCUACACUGAGCUGAGCCUUGGGGCUAUUUCUAGUUGACUGUGCCUCUACUUUGCUGUGUGGCUUUGAGAAACCACACAUCUCUGUGCUACUUUUUCUGCAUUAUGGAUCUCAUGCAGCUGACCAGGCUGGAUGUGAACUUGUGAUCCUCCUGCCUCGGCCUCCCAGAGUGUCGGCAUUUCAGGCAAGCAUCUAACUUUGAGGGCUAAGUCUGCAUAAACAUGGAUGGGGGUGAAAGUCUGCCUCACCCCUUUCUCCCCAGGGAAGGGAUAGAAGAAUGAAACCAUCACUGUUUGUUUUCUCUCUAUCACUCAAUCCCUGGAGCCAAUUUCUUCACAAGAGAACAUACAAUGAGCAGCCUGAAGUCAGCCACCAGAGGACAGCUUUCAACAGAAAAUGUUAGCAUCGUGUUGGCCUUAGCUGCUUCUGAGCUUGGAUGUGCAGUCCUCACCAAAGGUGGCAUUGUAGCAGACCAUGAUGGCUUCACGGAUCACACAUCCUCCUCUCCUCAGCCACCCUCUCUAACCCACCUUCUUCCAUUAGUGCUCCCCAGGGGCUUCCCUCUUUUAUUCACCUCUAUGCGCUUAUGAAUUUGCUCAAGUGUACGCAAGUCAGAAUGCACUGCCUGUAUGGAUUUGUUUGCAUUUACUGACUUUUUUCGAUCUUCGGUACAAAUUGUGAAUUUGCUUAAAUUCAAUGUGUUUAUUCCCAAGCUUUUUCAUAAAGCAGAAUGACACAAAAGUAAUGAUGUGGGAAUAAGAAAAAAUGAAAAUCAGAUUGAGAGAAAAGAAGGAAAAUGCACUGAUGCUCAUUUUUCCCUUUUACUGAUGUGCCUUCUCUUCCGAUUCCCUAGCAGGUUUUGGCAUGUAGGUGCUAUGCAGGGGUACACUGUUUACAGACAUUAAGGACCUCUAUAGUAGUGGGAAAUGUAUGGGAGGCUACAAAGUACCAGAAGUAUGGUCUCUAUUUCCAUGGGGCUUUUCAUCCUACAAUGGAAACACUUGUUCCUGUCUUAUAUCUGUCUCACAAUAAUGUAGAACAAUUAAGUGAGGAUUACCUGUCUGAUUUCCGUGCAUGGAGGUGGGGCCAAGGGUUUCCAUAAUAUGUGUAGAAACUGAGACUCACAAAGUUCUAGGACCCUGAGCAGGUAUGUGAAGUUGGAACUCACACCCCCAAAUUUCCAGUUGCUGGCACUCUAUCAAUAUUCUAAUGGAAGCUUUCUACAGGAAACCCACAAGGAAAGGACACAGGAAGCACUAAGUAAAGCCACAGUGACUGGUCAUGGGAACGCAAGUUAAUGAGGGCUGGGAAGAGCAGAAAGAAUAUCAGGCAAGGAAGGGGGAAGGAGACAGAGCGACAGCUGGGAAGCUGCACUCAGCCAGAGGCAGUGUGAGCAGCUCCUUUCAGCCCAAGUCCUUUUGUCUGUCAUCUAAGGGGUCACAGUAAGAGGAAACAGUGACCAGGUUUUUAAGAGGUGUGUUUGAAGGCACAAGGAUGAGAUGGACUCUUCUUCCUCUAUCUCUGUAUAUAUAAAUUAUGAUGAGUCUGGAUGUCCCCGCAAAGCCUCAUGUAGUCAUGGGGGGAAGUUUCUAAGAGUCUGAAUGACUCAUGGCCCAAAACUGGGAUUAUGUCAGUGCUACACUCAAGUGGGUGUGGCAUACAAUAUACAAAAUACAAUAUACAAUAUACAACAUACAAUAUACGAUAUACAAUAUAAAGGACAGAAAAUCAUCUCACUGCACUCCUCUCUUUUUGCUCUUGUUGCUUGUGCUGUUCUCCACUGCCAUGAACUGUUGCCCUCUGCUGAAAUCUUCACAAACUGCAAACUAAAUAAAUCUUAACUUUUGAUGUAGA